GAAAAGUUUAGUAUUCAAAUUUUUAUGAUUGACAUUGUGUUGUCAUCAAUCAUUGUGAUUGUAGUACUAGAGUCACUAAAAGUAGAUCUAUCAUCUAAAAAUAACUUGUCGCUAACUCAACUGUGAACUAGACUAGAACGAUUCAAUCUAAUUGGAUAUGUUGAAGAAACCCAGACAGACUACAUUGUUCCAAAAAUUUGGUUUAGCCUUAAAAAUUGUUUUUGGAUUGGAAGUAGCUGCCGUAUUAGGAUCAUAUUUUAUUUGGAACAGAAUGAACCAUGAUCAAGAUUUCAGAUAUAAAGUCUACAAAAUGUCACCACUUGCCUUACAUUAUUAUUACAAAAUACCAGAAAUGUUAGGGGGCCAGUCAACAAGGAGUGUGGAUUAUUCAGCUUGGGGUGUUGACAAGUGAUUAAUAUUAAAAAUAUAUUUAUAAUUUUUUUUAGAUAAGUGUUUAAUUUUUUUCUAUUUUUACUGAAACUAGAGGGAUGUAUCACCAUUUUUGUUAUUUGCAUCAAGUAUGAUAUGGUUACCUACAAAGUAUUUAACUGGUGAGACACUAUAAACAUUUCUUUGGACUAUACAUUAAAAAAAAAAUCCAAAGCUCAGCUACUGAAAGCAGAGAAAUGGCUAUAAAGAGAAUAGCUAACAAGUAAAAUAAAUAUUUAAAAACAAAAUCCUUUAAAAAAAAACAAACAAA